CUGCAUUGAAAACCUGUUGUUUAGUGCAGCCACCUUCAUUAGCUGCCUUAGCUUCAUCUCCUGGAGCACUUGCAGCAGCCUCUGGGUCAGCUCUUCCCGCCUUACCUUGCACAGAGGGUAAAAAGAAAAUGCAAGACCACCAUGCUGCAUCGGGAUCUCUGAAAGAACGUGAGGAAGACGGUUUCCAAAGGCAGGUGAAGAAAGUACGCGCCCUUGAUGAAAUCAGUGGACAGAGAACUAUGGACACUGAAGGGAAGGUGGACAUGAACGGAUGUGAGCUGGUGGGAAAGCAGCAGCUGUUGGCAGCAAAGGAGGAGGCAAAAUUGACUGAA